AUGACCCACAUAUCAGAUAUUAAACUGAUAAGAACAGAUAAUACACUUGAUCUUAGCCAAAAGGCCGAGAAAGGUAUGCUUCUAGUUGUUGCCCUCCGCCUCUUCUUAUAG
rnacentral:rRNA from 1 species